GCCAGACUCCUACGGGAGGCAGCAGUGAGGAAUAUUGGUCAAUGGCCGGAAGGCUGAACCAGCCAAGCCGCGUGAAGGACGAAGGUGCCAAGCAUUGUAAACUUCUUUUGUCAAGGGACAAAAUCAGGCUCGAGAGCCUGACCGAGGGUACUUGAAGAAAAAGCAUCGGCUAACUCCGUGCCAGCAGCCGCGGUAAUACGGAGGAUGCGAGCGUUAUCCGGAUUUAUUGGGUUUAAAGGGUGCGUAGGCGGGCUGUUAGGUCGGGGGUAAGGGCGGGGGGCCCACCCCGGGCGAGCCGUUGAAACUGGCUGUCUUGAGAUGUCGAGAGGUAUGCGGAAUGCGCAGUGUAGCGGUGAAAUGCUUAGAUAUUGCGCAGAACUCCGAUUGCGAAGGCAGCAUACCGGCGGCGAUCUGACGCUGAGGCACGAAAGCGUGGGUAUCGAACAGGAUUAGAUACCCCUGUA
rnacentral:rRNA from 1 species